ACACUCUCCUUGGGCAGGACCUGCUGCAGCUGCUCUCGGGGUUGGAGGGGAGGUUCCUAGGUCAAUGGAGUUGUGUACCUAGGAGGAUUAUGGCUGCCUCUGCUGAGUCAUGCAGAUUGUCAGGAAGUGUGAGAAAGCCAGCAGUCACCGGCCUCACCCAGCCACCCUGCCGCCAUUAACAGCACUAGGCAGGCAGUGCGCAGAGCUGAGAACUUGCCCCAGGUUACCCGCCUCCCAGCUGCUAAACAAAAGGGAGGCUUUUCAGCUGGUUCAAAUUGUUACAAAGUUCAGCUAGAGAUUUGCUUUUACCUGCGGCGUUUUCCCCAUACCACUGGCUGCCCUCCCGAAGAAUUCCUGUGAUGCCAGGCAGGAAUGGCCUGGUUGGAGACCAGCUAGCUCCCAGGGCCUUUCCCGCUGCUUCCUCUACCCCUGUAUUUCGCUGGGCUCUCUAAAUGGAUUCAGCUCCAGAGGAGGAAAACCUUGAGACCCUGAGACUUUCAGAAACUUAUUCACAGUUACCAAAGCUGAUGAUCAAGCCAUUCCAUGUCCCCUAGUGUUCCCUGGGAAGUUACAUCACAGCAACCUUCCUAAGAAGCAUCUCAGAAUGCUAGGGAACCAGAAUCACGGCCUGCGGUUCUCUUUUACCCAUGAAAAAACUGUGAGCAUAGAAAAAAUCUCUCGGUCUGGAGCCAUGCUAACUUGGAGGUGAAAGGUAGGGUUGCACAGUUGUAAUAAGACUGUUCAUCUUAACCUUCUAAUGUACAUUUCAUUCAGUUCUGUGUAUCAUGUGGAUGUCUCGGGCUCAUUUCCAGAUGUUAGGUUAUUCAAAAGAAUGUUCUAGUUUGCAGAUAGUUGCUUGCUAAACUUCCUUUGUGGAAGAGUUUAUUCCAACACCUCUUACCCUGCCAUCUUGCUGACAUAAUUUUGCUAUGCAUUAGAUUUGCCAUAUCCUUGCACCACUCAGUAGUUUAAACUUGAAUAGCAGUUUAUAUUGUAGUUUAGUUCUUAAAAUCUUUGCUAUACAUCUUGGCACCUGUUUGCACAUAUACAGAUAGAGGAUAUUUUUUGGUUUACUUAGAAUUAAUGAUCUCCUUUCUUCAGUCCUCUCCUGGAGGAUUUUCUCCACUCUCUAACUCCCAAGAAUAUUUUUUCUUAUUUAUCUGAUAAGAAUGAUGUGUUUGCCUCAGAUUUUGAGUCCCUUGGUUUGUUGCAUACAUAGUUCAGCACAGUUUGGACCACCCUCUAGGCAAAGGGGAGGGAGAAGAGGGACAAGGAAAAAAUUAAAAACAAUUCUUACCACAUUCUUUGAACCGCUGUGGGCAACUUUCUGGUUCCUCUGAGCAGUGGAAUAGGAAUUUCUUAGACUUUUGCAUAAUGUGAUGCUGCUUCAGCUAUAUCACAGCUCCAUUACUUCCUUUGGAUGGGGGCUUCCUUUGGAUGAAGUCCAGAAGAGGAGAGGAAGAAUCAAAGAAAAAAAGUAAAACAAAACAAAAUAAGGCUUUACUCCUUCCCACCAACCCUACUCUCCACUUCACAGAAGCCCACUUUUUUGUCCUCUUGCCAGAAAGAGAUGCCAUCUUUUGGGUUUUUGCUGUUGUUACUUAUGUACUAUGCAGUUCUGCAAAUUGGGCCAGCUUCAGGCCAAAGCAUGGAGAUAUAAGGGGAAACACCAAAACAAAAUAAAUAAUUAAAGGGUUAUUAAUACUUUUUCAAGUUUUGAUUUCUUUGCCUUAUCUGUUUGAUACAAGUUAUUUGUCACAGCCCUCAAGUAGUUGCUUUUUGUAUUUUGUUUAGAAAGUUAGUUGUAAGGUACGAAAGCUAUAAACUUUAGGGGACCUACUCUAUCUGGGAAGACACAAAAAGCAAAUGAAGCUUUUCUAAAAAUUAGAAACACUUUCUGCAUAGGGGAGUUUUUAAGAUGAUAUACUGUUAUCUGCAAGGAAACAGUUGUAAUACAUUUAUAAACACCUGAUGAGCAUGGAUAUAAAUGGUCCCAGUGCAGGCCAUGCAACACACAGUGUACACAGCCUGUAUGAGGAUGCUGCCUAUUUGCUGAUGUUAGAACCUCUAUUUCUACACUCCAUAUAUCUUAUCUUCCCUAUCCUUUCAUAUUUUCUAUGCCAUUGUCCUUCCUCCUUGGUUUCACAGAUUUUUUUCCGUCUAGUCUGAACUUCUUUCUCUCUAAUUUGUUCUUUAUUUAACCUUUUCUGCUAUUUAUUCCUUUAUUUUUGCUAUUAUUUUUAAUCUUCAUUCUUCCUUCUUCCAUAUGUUUCUUUUUAUGACUUCCUCUUCUUGCUUCAUAUUACUAAUGUCUUAUAUUACCUUAUGGGAGAUAUUAUUAUAAUAAUUAUGUUAACUUCUAGAUUUUUCUAUUCUAGUUAUUCUGGUUCAUGUUGUACAUGUAACUUGAUUGAUGUCUUUCUUUUUUAGGAGUAGAAAUUAUGAUGUGUCUAGUUAUUUUAGCAAAUAAGUUACAUGGCUGACAGUAUCACUUCUCCUGUCUGGUAAUAUGUAAUGGAAAAUAUUUAGAUCAUAUGAAACUUUGAAGCCCUUUGAAUGGGUUGAGGCAGAAGACAUAGAAGACUACUCAUAGUCACUAUUGGCUGUUAAUAGUGACAGCCAACCACUCUGCUCGUUAAACACUUACAAGGAAGCUGAAGUUGGAAGAGAUACUCUCUGAACUCCAGUUUAAUAUACCACUGGUUUUUUGUUGUUGUUGUUUUGUUUGUUUUUUUGAGAUGGAAUCUUGCUCUGUUGCCCAGGCUGGAGUGCAGUGGUGCAAUCUCGGCUCACUGCAACCUUCGCCUCCUGGGUUCAAGUGAUUCUCCUGUCUCAGCUUCCUAAGUAGCUGGGAUUAGAGGUGCCCACCAACACGCCAGGUUAAUUUUUAAAUUUUGGGUAGAGAUGGGGUUCCUGCAUGUUGGCUCGGCUUGUCUGGAACUCCUGACCUCAGGUGAUCCACCCUCCUCAGCCUCCCAAAGUGCUGGGAUUACAGGUGUGCGCCACUGCACCCGGUCAAUGUACCACUGUUUUUAUUAAACGACAUUCACAUUGUGUUUUGAUUCAAAACCUUUUAUCUUUAUAUAGUAUCUAAAUAAUUACACUCUUUACACUUACUAUUUAUUAUUCAAAUGAUAACACACAUUGUACAUUUCAUUUAUUGUUUUCAGAAAAGAAAGUAUUGUAUACUCAAAUGGAUCUUAAACCCUUAAGUAUUUAGUCAGCACCCUGCCUUAUGCUUUAUUUUUAUCAGUUAUUCUGUAUACUUUUAGAGUAGGUGUUAAAUGAAUAGUUAUUCAUUGUCAAAGUAUGUAAUUAAUUGGAAAACUGAAUUUACUAACCAUGUUGAAUAUUUAGGAUUAUCUUCUACAUCAUACUAUCUUAUCUUUCAGUUGGCUAUAACCUUUACCUGCAUUUAAAAGUAUAGUAUUAUUAUCAUGACCAUUUAUAGCACUGUUGGAAUAAAACAUAUUAUUUAAAUAUGUGAAGAAAAUGUAAGACGUGCUGGAGGCAUGUCACCUCUAAUUCAGCACUGUUUAAUGAAAGGUUUUAACUAGGUAGCUAUGCAUUAUCUGGUACUCUGAGCAUUUCAUCAGCAGAAUAUAUUAUUUGCAUACUAAUGAGGAUACAUGCUCUGGGACAGGCAUUAAAGCACUUUUUCACAUUUGCUUUCUUUUCUACAGACUUCUAGCCCAGGCUUCCUACAUAAAUAUCUGCAUUUCAUAAUGAAGGAUAGGAACUAUUUAUGCAUUGAAUUCCUCUCAAUAAUACUUUACCAUCUCAAUUUUAAGAAAUGGGUAUUUUAUCUUUUAAAUAAUCAGGUUAUAAUAGUUUCUAAAAUAUAUAUUGAUUACGAUAUUACAGUUGAAUUGUUGAACUGAAUAUUUCAAUUGAAAUAUUGAAUUGAAAAUUACAAUUUUCAAAGCCUCUGAAAACAAGGAAAUGCAAAAGCAAUCCU
rnacentral:lncRNA from 1 species